rnacentral:rRNA from 1 species
AUUGAACGCUGGCGGCAUGCCUUACACAUGCAAGUCGAACGGUAACGGGUCCUUCGGGAUACCGACGAGUGGCGAACGGGUGAGUAAUAUAUCGGAACGUGCCCAGUAGUGGGGGAUAACUGCUCGAAAGAGCAGCUAAUACCGCAUACGACCUGAGGGUGAAAGGGGGGGAUCGCAAGACCUCUCGCUAUUGGAGCGGCCGAUAUCAGAUUAGCUAGUUGGUGGGGUAAAGGCCUACCAAGGCAACGAUCUGUAGUUGGUCUGAGAGGACGACCAGCCACACUGGGACUGAGACACGGCCCAGACUCCUACGGGAGGCAGCAGUGGGGAAUUUUGGACAAUGGGCGCAAGCCUGAUCCAGCAAUGCCGCGUGCAGGAAGAAGGCCUUCGGGUUGUAAACUGCUUUUGUCAGGGAGGAAAUCUUCUGGGCUAAUACCCCGGGAGGAUGACGGUACCUGAAGAAUAAGCACCGGCUAACUACGUGCCAGCAGCCGCCGUAA